GUAUCCUUCCCGGUAACUUUCGGAAGCCUUUGCAACCUAAUCAGGGUCCGCGACUAUAAACACAGGAUGCAAGUAGCCUAGAGCUGCAACAUAAUCGAAUUGCGGGGACGUCCUAAAGCCUACGAUACCAACGUUUCAGGGAAACCUGCAGCGGGUCUGUGUAAUCACAGAAGGUCACAACUCGUAGGAUGUACAAUGGAUAAUCCGCAGCGAAGCCCCUAACGGUGUAUGCCUACGGGGAACGUUCACAGACUAAGUGGUUAUGGGUAGAGUACGCUCUGCUUAAGAUAUAGUCGGACGCUGUGGGAAACUACAGUGACUAGUCGUUCCGUAGGUGAACCUGCGGAAGGAUCAUUACAGAGUUCUUGCCCUAACGGGUAGAAUUCCCACCCUUGUGUAACAUAAUUAUCUGUUGCUUUGGCGGGUCGCGAGUUUACUUGCCCUGUGUACCCGCCAGAGAACCAAUCAACUCUGAAUAUUAGUGUCGUCUGAGUACUAUAUAAUAGUUAAAACUUUCAACAACGGAUCUCUUGGUUCUGGCAUCGAUGAAGAACGCAGCGAAAUGCGAUAAGUAAUGUGAAUUGCAGAAUUCAGUGAAUCAUCGAAUCUUUGAACGCACAUUGCGCCCCUUGGUAUUCCGGGGGGCAUGCCUGUUCGAGCGUCAUUAUGACCAAUCCAGCUUGCUGGGUCUUGGGCUAUCGCCUCCCUGGCGGGCCUUAAAAACAGUGGCGGUGCUCUCAAGCUCUACGCGUAGUAAUUAUUCUCGCUAUUGGGUCUUGAGGGAUGCUUGCCAACAACCCCCAACUUCUUAGGUGACCUCGGAUCAGG
rnacentral:sRNA from 1 species